rnacentral:rRNA from 1 species
UACAGAGGUCUCAAGCGUUGUUCGGAUUCAUUGGGCGUAAAGGGUGCGUAGGCGGCGCGGUAAGUCGGGUGUGAAAUCUCAGAGCUCAACUCUGAAACUGCACUCGAUACUGCUUUGCUAGAGGACUGGAGAGGAGAUUGGAAUUCACGGUGUAGCAGUGAAAUGCGUAGAGAUCGUAAGGAAGACCAGUGGCGAAGGCGGGUCUCUGGACAGUUCCUGACGCUGAGGCACGAAGGCCAGGGGAGCAAACGGG